rnacentral:rRNA from 1 species
AAUAGAUACCCGGGUAGUCCACGCCGUAAACGAUGAGUGCUAAGUGUUAGGGGGUUUCCGCCCCUUAGUGCUGCAGCUAACGCAUUAAGCACUCCGCCUGGGGAGUACGGUCGCAAGACUGAAACUCAAAGGAAUUGACGGGGGCCCGCACAAGCGGUGGAACAUGUGGUUUAAUUCGAAGCAACGCGAAGAACCUUACCAGGUCUUGACAUCCCGUUGACCACUGUAGAGAUAUAGUUUCCCCUUCGGGGGCAACGGUGACAGGUGGUGCAUGGUUGUCGUCAGCUCGUGUCGUGAGAUGUUGGGUUAAGUCCCGCAACGAGCGCAACCCUUGAUCUUAGUUGCCAUCAUUUAGUUGGGCACUCUAAGGUGACUGCCGGUGACAAACCGGAGGAAGGUGGGGAUGACGUCAAAGUCAUCGUGCCCCUUAUGACCUGGGCUACACACGUGCUACAAUGGACGAUACAAACGGUUGCCAACUCGCGAGAGGGAGCUAAUCCGAUAAAGUCGUUCUCAGUUCGGAUUGUAGGCUGCAACUCGCCUAC